rnacentral:tRNA from 1 species
GCCUGGGUGGCUCAGUCGGUGAAGCGUCUGACUUCGGCUCAGGUCAUGCGUGAGUUCAAGCCCUGCCUUGGGCC